AUUGAACGCUGGCGGCAGGCUUAACACAUGCAAGUCGAGCGGAGAUGAGGUGCUUGCACCUUAUCUUAGCGGCGGACGGGUGAGUAAUGCUUAGGAAUCUGCCUAUUAGUGGGGGACAACAUUCCGAAAGGAAUGCUAAUACCGCAUACGCCCUACGGGGGAAAGCAGGGGAUCUUCGGACCUUGCGCUAAUAGAUGGGCCUAAGUCGGAUUAGCUAGUUGGUGGGGUAAAGGCCUACCAAGGCGACGAUCUGUAGCGGGUCUGAGAGGAUGAUCCGCCACACUGGGACUGAGACACGGCCCAGACUCCUACGGGAGGCAGCAGUGGGGAAUAUUGGACAAUGGGCGGAAGCCUGAUCCAGCCAUGCCGCGUGUGUGAAGAAGGCCUUAUGGUUGUAAAGCACUUUAAGCGAGGAGGAGGCUACUUUAGUUAAUACCUAGAGAUAGUGGACGUUACUCGCAGAAUAAGCACCGGCUAACUCUGUGCCAGCCGCCGCAGUAAAAC
rnacentral:rRNA from 1 species